UGCGUGUUUCGCGAGGAGGAUCAGAGGAGGAGAAAGCAAGCGAAUCACUGCCCAAGUGUGUCACCCUCAUUCAGGUGUCAUGAAGGGCCUGGAAUUGUAGAAUGGUUGAGGAUCCAGGUGUGACAGCUGAGGCUCCAGAAAAUGGGAAUGCAACUAAACCAACCCAGAGGUUUUCUCAGACCUCUCUGUCCCAACAUGGCCUGGCUGUUGGUGUUGCACCAUGAGCACAGAUAACCCUUCCCUGGAACAACCCCAUUCUGCGGGAUUGAAGCUCACCAAGCCCUCAGACCUCAUCAAGACUCUUUGUCCAGCAUGGAAAAGAAGGAUUUCCCCCCUCCUUCAAACCUCCCUAUCACUUGCUCAGAGGCUCAGGACAAACACCCGAGCCCCACACAGGACCUGGCUCCUGCCACCUCCUUUGCCCACAGUGCUUUUCCCAGGAGAGACCAAGAGAG
rnacentral:lncRNA from 1 species